rnacentral:rRNA from 1 species
AAUCCAACCCUUCUUGCACAAUUUCGCCCUAUCGGUCUGUGCAACGUGUUAUACAAGAUAGCUUCAAAAGUUAUUUCAAACCGUCUGAAGCUCGUUCUGCCUGACAUUAUUUUGGAGGAACAAUCUGCCUUUGUGCCAGGGAGACUAAUUUUUGACAAUAUCAUUAUUGCUUAUGAGUGUCUCCACUUCAUGAAAAGGAACAAGGCAAAGAAAAAUCAACAUUGCGUUGUAAAAUUGGAUGUGAUGAAGGCAUAUGACAAAGUUGAGUGGGCUUAUCUGAAAGUUAUAAUGCUAAAACUGGGUUUCAAGGAGAAGUGGAUGGAGAUAGUCAUGGGAAUGGUAAGUGUUGGAAAUAUGCCCUAG